AGCAAAUAACAUGAACGGCUUCCUGCAAAAGUGACGAGGCACUGGCUUCCUUUGGAACACCACCAUUUUCCAGAAGUGUUGAGGCAACAAAAACAGAAGACUGCCCAAAUCUUUUCUCUAGUUUCACUUGGGAAGUCGGGCGUGAAUCCACAUUAGCUUCUUUAACUCCUUCUUCAAUGGUUUCAAGAGCAUGUAUUUGACUUGAUGCCUCCCAGUGCUUUGGCUUCUUCAAUUU
rnacentral:misc_RNA from 1 species